ensembl:snoRNA SNORA62 Small nucleolar RNA SNORA62/SNORA6 family
CGAGAACAUUUCAGGCAAAGGCAAAUCAAGGGCAUGUCUGCGACUUAUAAAAUGCCUAAUUAUAGUAGUGUGCUCCAUGAGGGGCAAGUCUUUUGCUAACGCUACAUGGGUCUCUGGCCCAAUGAGCGGAGUUAGUGAUUCUUGCUACAAAU